GCCUGGGUGGCUCAGUCAGUUAAGCAUCUGACUUUGACUCAGGUCAUGAUCUCAUGGUUUCAUGAGUUCGAGCCCCAUGUCAGGCA
rnacentral:tRNA from 1 species